GAUGAACGCUGGCGGCGUGCCUAAUACAUGCAAGUCGAGCGAACAGACGAGGAGCUUGCUCCUCUGACGUUAGCGGCGGACGGGUGAGUAACACGUGGAUAACCUACCUAUAAGACUGGGAUAACUUCGGGAAACCGGAGCUAAUACCGGAUAAUAUAUUGAACCGCAUGGUUCAAUAGUGAAAGACGGUUUUGCUGUCACUUAUAGAUGGAUCCGCGCCGCAUUAGCUAGUUGGUAAGGUAACGGCUUACCAAGGCAACGAUGCGUAGCCGACCUGAGAGGGGGACCGGCACACUGGAACUGAGACACGGUCCAGACUCCUACGGGAGGCAGCAGUAGGGAAUCUUCCGCAAUGGGCGAAAGCCUGACGGAGCAACGCCGCGUGAGUGAUGAAGGUCUUCGGAUCGUAAAACUCUGUUAUUAGGGAAGAACAAAUGUGUAAGUAACUAUGCACGUCUUGACGGUACCUAAUCAGAAAGCCACGGCUAACUACGUG
rnacentral:rRNA from 1 species